UACGUAGGUGGCGAGCGUUGUCCGGAUUUAUUGGGCGUAAAGGGAACGCAGGCGGUCUUUUAAGUCUGAUGUGAAAGCCUCCGGCUUAACCGAAGUAGUGCAUUGGAAACUGGAAGACUUGAGUGCAGAAGAGGAGAGUGGAACUCCAUGUGUAGCGGUGAAAUGCGUAGAUAUAUGGAAGAACACCAGUGGCGAAAGCGGCUCUCUGGUCUGUAACUGACGCUGAGGUUCGAAAGCGUGGGUAGCAAACAGG
rnacentral:rRNA from 1 species